AUCACAUGCUCAAUAUAUACAGAGAUUCCAUAAGUGUUCCCACAGGGUUUCACUAGCCAGGUUCUUUCCCCAGGGAAGCAUAACCCUGGCAAAUAAGGGAUAUAUGAGCAUGAAGAGAGCUGAGUGUGUGUUUUUCCAAAGAUCAUUGGAGUUUCCCCUGCUUCCUUCCUCACAAUGUGUGCCAAGGACACAUCAGAAAUGUGCAUCAGCUGGGUGGUUGACCUGGAUUUCCCAAGCACUUAACUUUGCACCACUCUUCAUUGAGGCCUCUUGGGCAACUGUGACAACAGAACCUACUUGGAGCACUUGAUUUGUCAAGGUGCAUUUUGGCAUGAAAGGUUCUCUUCCCAGCCAGGAGCCAGAUGGACCACUCCAUGAGCCUUCACACUGUAAAUAAAG